AUUGAACGCUGGCGGCAUGCUUUACACAUGCAAGUCGAACGGUAACAGGCCUUCGGGUGCUGACGAGUGGCGAACGGGUGAGUAAUGCAUCGGAACGUACCCAGAGGUGGGGGAUAACGCAGCAAAAGCUGAGCUAAUACCGCAUGAGAUCGGAGGAUGAAAGCGGGGGACCGAGCAGCAAUGUUUGGCCUCGCGCCUUUGGAGGGGCCGAUGUCGGAUUAGCUCGUUGGUGGGGUAAAGGCCUACCAAGGCGACGAUCCGUAGCUGGUCUGGGAGGACGACCAGCCACACUGGGACGGAGACACGGCCCAGACGCCUACGGGAGGCAGCAGUGGGGAAUUUUGGACAAUGGGCGCAAGCCUGAUCCAGCAAUGCCGCGUGCGGGAAGAAGGCCUUCGGGUUGUAAACCGCUUUUGGCAGGAACGAAACGGUGUCCGCUAAUACCGGGCGCUAAUGACGGUACCUGCAGAAUAAGCACCGGCUAACUACGUG
rnacentral:rRNA from 1 species